CUGCCUCAAACUCCCAAGUAGCUGGGACUACAGGCGCCCACCACCAUGCCCGAUGAGAAGAUUAAAAGACUUGAAUGGGACAAGGAAUAAAGUGGCAUACCUCCAUCCUUGGUUUGGACUAACCCAUCAAUGUGGUAGACACAGGUCCCUCUUCAAGGAAGGAUUUGCUGACAAGCAGUGGGUGGCACAAUCAGAAACAAUCUACAGCUGUUAGCUUCUUCUGGUUUUGCCUCAGCUGCAGAGACACACUUUGCCCAAAGUCAUGCCCAUCCUGGGCACUGUGCAUCUGGUGACUGAACAAGGCCUGGCCGUUUGUUUCAGGAAUAUAAAGCCCUGGAUAUUUGUUUUGGGACAACUCUAAAGGACCAUACCCACUCUAGAGUUCCCUGCUGGGUUGACCUACAUUGCUGUUGACUUCUCCCUCCACCUAAUCCUGUUUUAACCCCCUCCUGUCAUAGGUAUUGAUCCCUAAUAAAUAUCCUGCAACCCAAA